rnacentral:rRNA from 1 species
UACGUAGGUGGCAAGCGUUUGUCCGGAAUUAUUGGGCGUAAAGCGCGCGCAGGCGGUCCUUUAAGUCUGAUGUGAAAGCCCACGGCUCAACCGUGGAGGGUCAUUGGAAACUGGGGGACUUGAGUACAGAAGAGAAGAGUGGAAUUCCACGUGUAGCGGUGAAAUGCGUAGAGAUGUGGAGGAACACCAGUGGCGAAGGCGGCCAGCUGGGCCAGAUCGACACUGAGGCGCGAAAGCGUGGGGAGCAAACAGG